rnacentral:rRNA from 1 species
UACGAAGGGGGCUAGCGUUGCUCGGAAUCACUGGGCGUAAAGGGUGCGUAGGCGGGUCUUUAAGUCAGUUGUGAAAUCCUGGAGCUCAACUCCAGAACUGCCUUUGAUACUGAAGAUCUUGAGUUCGGGAGAGGUGAGUGGAACUGCGAGUGUAGAGGUGAAAUUCGUAGAUAUUCGCAAGAACACCAGUGGCGAAGGCGGCUCACUGGCCCGAUACUGACGCUGAGGCACGAAAGCGUGGGGAGCAAACAGG